rnacentral:misc_RNA from 1 species
GUGAAUCAUCAAAUUUUUGAACGCAAAUUGCGCUUCCUGGCAUCACUGGGAGUAUGCCUGUUUGAGGGUUAGUAUUAACUAAAAAUCGGUUUGGUUGGAAAUGUUUACGUUUCUGGAGUUUGGGUUAUUUUAAUUUUUUUGGGUAAGGGGCUUAAAAUUGACUGUAUUUUCGUAUUUUUAGACGUAUUUAAUUUUUUUUUAUUCGUCUAUCUUUAAUGCCAAUAUCUGAUGAGAUGCGAUCGCGUCGUGAGGUUUC